GACGAACGCUGGCGGCGUGCUUAACACAUGCAAGUCGAACGGAAAGGCCCUGCUUUUGUGGGGUGCUCGAUUGGCGAACGGGUGAGUAACACGUGAGUAACCUGCCCUUGACUUUGGGAUAACUUCAGGAAACUGGGGCUAAUACCGGAUAGGAGCUCCUGCUCCAUGGUGGGGGUUGGAAAGUUUCGGCGGUUGGGGCUGGACUCGCGGCUUAUCCGCUUGUUGGUGGGGUAGUUGCUUUCCAAGGCUUUGACGGGUAGCCGGCCUGGGAGGGUGGCCGGCGACAUUGGGACUGAGAGACGGCCCAGACUCCUACGGGAGGCAGCAGUGGGGAAUAUUGCACAAUGGGCGGAAGCCUGAUGCAGCAACGCCGCGUGCGGGAUGACGGCCUUCGGGUUGUAAACCGCUGUCGCCUGUGACGAAGCGUGAGUGACGGUAAUGGGUAAAGAAGCACCGGCUAACUACGUG
rnacentral:rRNA from 1 species